rnacentral:rRNA from 1 species
UACGUAGGAGGCGAGCGUUGUCCGGAGUUACUGGGCGUAAAGGGUGCGCAGGCGGCGUCACGCGUGGCUAGAUGAAAUCUCCUGGCUUACCUGGGAGGGUGGUAGCCAGACGGUGGCGCUUGAGGGUCGGAGAGGGGCGUGGAAUUCCGGGUGGAGCGGUGAAAUGCGUAGAGAUCCGGAGGAACACCGACGGCGUAGGCAGCGCCCUGGACGACACCCUGACGCUGAGGCACGAAAGCUGGGGGAGCGAACAGGAUUAGGAAACCCUUGAUAGU